GGAUCCAGACUUUGAUCAUGGCUCAGGAUGAACGCUAGCUACAGGCUUAACGCAUGCAAGUCGAGGGGAAACGAUAUUGGAAGCUUGCUUCCGAUAGGCGUCGACCGGCGCACGGGUGAGUAACGCGUAUCCAACCUGCCCAUCACUUGGGGAUAACCUUGCGAAAGUAAGACUAAUACCCAAUGAUAUCUCUAGAAGACAUCUGAAGGAGAUUAAAGAUUCAUCGGUGAUGGAUGGGGAUGCGUCUGAUUAGCUUGUUGGCGGGGUAACGGCCCACCAAGGCGACGAUCAGUAGGGGUUCUGAGAGGAAGGUCCCCCACAUUGGAACUGAGACACGGUCCAAACUCCUACGGGAGGCAGCAGUGAGGAAUAUUGGUCAAUGGGCGAGAGCCUGAACCAGCCAAGUAGCGUGCAGGAUGACGGCCCUAUGGGUUGUAAACUGCUUUUAUAAGGGAAUAAAGUGAGCCUCGUGAGGCUUUUUGCAUGUACCUUAUGAAUAAGGACCGGCUAAUUCCGUGCCAGCAGCCGCGGUAAUACGGAAGGUCCGGGCGUUAUCCGGAUUUAUUGGGUUUAAAGGGAGCGUAGGCCGGAGAUUAAGCGUGUUGUGAAAUGUAGAUGCUCAACAUCUGCACUGCAGCGCGAACUGGUUUCCUUGAGUACGCACAAAGUGGGCGGAAUUCGUGGUGUAGCGGUGAAAUGCUUAGAUAUCACGAAGAACUCCGAUUGCGAAGGCAGCUCACUGGAGCGCAACUGACGCUGAAGCUCGAAAGUGCGGGUAUCGAACAGGAUUAGAUACCCUGGUAGUCCGCACGGUAAACGAUGGAUGCCCGCUGUUGGUCUGAAUAGGUCAGCGGCCAAGCGAAAGCAUUAAGCAUCCCACCUGGGGAGUACGCCGGCAACGGUGCAACUCAAAUGAAUUGACGG
rnacentral:rRNA from 1 species